rnacentral:tRNA from 1 species
UCUCGAUUGGUCUAGUGGUAAGGAUACCUGCUUGUCAAAUGAUGUGUAUCAUUAGCAAAUCGCAGGUGGCCGGGGUUCGAUUCCCCGAUCGAGAG